ACUGAUCGUAUGCCCGGUACCUUGGAGCAGAUCUGACGGUGCUCGCCAGAUUCCGAUCCACAGGUGCUGCAUGCCUGUCGUCCGCUCGUGUCGUGUCUUGUUGUGUUUCCUCCCGCCACGAGGGCGCCCUUGUCCUUAGUUGCUGUAUGGAGCACUCUGCCCUGACUGCCGGUGACUGACCGGAUGACGGCAUCGAUGACUUCCUCCCCUCUGUGCCCUUAUGGCUCGCGCUUCAGCUCUUGAUAUGGUCGGAACCGAGGGUCGCCCUCCGCGAGGGACUUCUAAUCCCUCUCACCGAUCGUAGUCCGGAUUGCACGCUGCACUCGAGUGCAUGAAGCUGGAAUCGCUAGUCUCGCGGACAGCAUGCCGAGGUUAAUACGUUCCCGGGUCGGUACACACCGA
rnacentral:rRNA from 1 species